rnacentral:lncRNA from 1 species
CUGUUUCCUGGUGCUUUCCUCUGUGAAUCUAGGGUCUAAUUCCCUUUCCUUCCUCAUUUCGGUCUUGACUCUCUCCUCCUCCCCCCUGGCAGUGCUCGCUGUGUCAGCCGUGAGAGGCUCCGUUCAGCUCCGAGCCCAGCCCCGUGCGCCUCCCAGCACCAUGAUGGUUUCCUUCAUUCUCUGCCUUUUCCCUGCUCUCCUAGCUACAACGAGUGCACAAGGUCAGCCCCUGACGUGCAACAAGUGCUCCGGCACAGCGAAUUCCUGCAAGGAUACUAAAGAGACAUGCACAGUAAACACGGCUACUCGUGGCUGCAAUUCGGCAGCAGAAGAAAAUACACUGGAUGGGACAAAGAUCACUCUCUUCUCCAAAGGCUGUCUAAGUGACUAUAAUAGUGGCAUAAAAAGCCCCAUCACUUUCACUGUUGGGAAGGACAAGUAUGUGAGGAUCAACACUGAAGGAUGCAACAACGCAGAUAAAUGUAAUGUGAAUGUGCUGGAAGUGCCCACGGUGGACUCUACCGUAAAAGAGGUGCAGUGCCCAACCUGCUUUGCUCUGAACGGCGAACCCUGCAACACCCAAACCAUCCCUUGUACAGGGAAUGAGGACCAUUGCGUCGAUUUCGUUGGGAUCCUAACGAAAGAGUCAGCUGAUGCACCAGUUUCAAUAUUUGCUGCAAAAGGCUGCGGUUCUGCGUCUACAACAAACAUAAAACCUGGAACCUCCCUG